rnacentral:rRNA from 1 species
UGCAAGUCGAGCGGAUUGAUGGGAGCUUGCUCCCUGAUAUCAGCGGCGGACGGGUGAGUAACACGUGGGCAACCUGCCUGUAAGACUGGGAUAACACCGGGAAACCGGUGCUAAUACCGGAUAAUCCUUUUCCUCUCAUGAGGAAAAGCUGAAAGUCGGUUUCGGCUGACACUUACAGAUGGGCCCGCGGCGCAUUAGCUAGUUGGUGAGGUAACGGCUCACCAAGGCGACGAUGCGUAGCCGACCUGAGAGGGUGAUCGGCCACACUGGGACUGAGACACGGCCCAGACUCCUACGGGAGGCAGCAGUAGGGAAUCUUCCACAAUGGACGAAAGUCUGAUGGAGCAACGCCGCGUGAGCGAUGAAGGCCUUUGGGUCGUAAAGCUCUGUUGUUAGGGAAGAACAAGUAUCGGAGUAACUGCCGGUACCUUGACGGUACCUAACCAGAAAGCCACGGCUAACUACGUGCCAGCAGCCGCGGUAAUACGUAGGUGGCAAACGUUGUCCGGAAUUAUUGGGCGUAAAGCGCGCGCAGGCGGUUCCUUAAGUCUGAUGUGAAAGCCCCCGGCUCAACCGGGGAGGAUCAUUGGAAACUGGGGAACUUGAGUGCAGAAGAGAAGAGCGGAAUUCCACGUGUAGCGGUGAUAUGCGUAGAGAUGUGGAGGAACACCAGUGGCGAAGGCGGCUCUUUGGUCUGUAACUGACGCUGAGGCGCGA